rnacentral:rRNA from 1 species
UACGUAGGGUGCGAGCGUUAAUCGGAAUUACUGGGCGUAAAGCGUGCGCAGGCGGUUCGUUGUGUCGGCGGUGAAAGCCCCGGGCUCAACCUGGGAAUGGCCGUUGAAACUGGCGGACUGGAGUGUGGCAGAGGGGGGUGGAAUUUCGCGUGUAGCAGUGAAAUGCGUAGAGAUGCGGAGGAACACCGAUGGCGAAGGCAGCCCCCUGGGCUAACACUGACGCUCAGGCACGAAAGCGUGGGGAGCAAACAGG